rnacentral:rRNA from 1 species
CCUACGGGUGGCUGCAGUGGGGAAUAUUGCACAAUGGGGGAAACCCUGAUGCAGCGACGCCGCGUGAAGGAAGAAGGUUUUCGGAUCGUAAACUUCUAUCCUAAGGGAAGAAUAAUGACGGUACCUUAGGAGGAAGCCCCGGCUAACUACGUGCCAGCAGCCGCGGUGAUACGUAGGGGGCGAGCGUUAUCCGGAAUCACUGGGCGUAAAGGGUGCGUAGGCGGCCCUGCAAGUCAGGAGUUAAAUCCCUCGGCUCAACCGAGGUCAGCUCUUGAAACUGUAGGGCUUGAGUGCAGGAGAGGAGAGCGGAAUUCCUAGUGUAGCGGUGAAAUGCGUAGAUAUUAGGAGGAACACCAGUGGCGAAGGCGGCUCUCUGGACUGUAACUGACGCUGAGGCACGAAAGCGUGGGGAGCGAACAGGAUUAGAUACCCGAGUAGUC